GCCCGCCUAGCUCAAUCGGAUAGAGCGUCAGACUCUUACUAGGCGGUGAUCUGAAGGCUGCGAGUUCGACCCUCGCGGUGGGCU
rnacentral:tRNA from 2 species